GACGAACGCUGGCGGCGUGCUUAACACAUGCAAGUCGAGCGGUAAGGCCUUUCGGGGUACACGAGCGGCGAACGGGUGAGUAACACGUGGGUGAUCUGCCCUGCACUUCGGGAUAAGCCUGGGAAACUGGGUCUAAUACCGGAUAUGACCUCCUAUCGCAUGGUGGGUGGUGGAAAGAUUUAUCGGUGCAGGAUGGGCCCGCGGCCUAUCAGCUUGUUGGUGGGGUAAUGGCCUACCAAGGCGACGACGGGUAGCCGACCUGAGAGGGUGACCGGCCACACCGGGACUGAGACACGGCCCAGACUCCUACGGGAGGCAGCAGUGGGGAAUAUUGCACAAUGGGCGAAAGCCUGAUGCAGCGACGCCGCGUGAGGGAUGACGGCCUUCGGGUUGUAAACCUCUUUCAGCAGGGACGAAGCGCAAGUGACGGUACCUGCAGAAGAAGCACCGGCUAACUACGUG
rnacentral:rRNA from 1 species